CGCCCCGUGCAGCUGCGGGGCUGAACCAAUGCAGGCCCUGGAGAGACGCCUUUCCGUGCGGGCGAAAUGCUUCUGGACGGGACUUCCAGCAUUUUCUCGGCCGUGGUGCUUUUGGGACCCAUGGCUGCAGAAGUGCUUAUGGACCACGCUCAGGGAUGGGUUUGUUUUCCUGCUCACAGACCGUCUGCCGGCACCACUAUCUGUGGCACGUGGAACGUCUCAUCUACAGGAAUGGAGGUCCUCGGGAACAAUGGAGGAACUGCUCAUGAAUGUACAUGGACAAGUGGAUCUGUGCAGCACCAGCGUAGCCAUGGAAGUGCCCUGCUCAGAUAUCCCUUCAAGAGAUCCUGUUGGGGCUGGAGCACAACUGAUUGACAGCCUCCAGGUGCUGUGCUCUUAGAUCCACCAGAAUUUGUUCUAGGUCUCACUUCCCCUGGGAUGUUCCAAUCUAAUGAUAUGCAUCGCAGAGGUGUGAGAACCUUUCCCUUCCUGCCCAAUGGGAUAAUCUUCUAGAGGGUAAAUAUGGCUCCAGCAUCCCCCAUUGUCUUGGUCAAGAAUUUCUCCUAACUGUGCUGAGGUGUGAGGCAUUUUCUACCCAAUCCUUUCUUCUCUCUCUCCCUUCUCAUGUGUUCCACAUGCAUUGAGUUCUGAAAGCUCUGUGUUCCUCUUGUUCCCCUUUAUCCUUUGAAGAUGUGUUGCCCCCACAAAUCUCUUGCAAGUCUCAUCCUGUCGUGGUAUCUUCUCCUUGGGGGACACUUGCACUGAUGUAGCAUGUUAUAUGAUGGUUUUGGACAAAAUAUUAUUUCUAUUUAUAGUGCUUAUACAUACUUUACUACCACCAUAGCAUUUGAAGAAAAAUCCUUUCUUCAUAUUUUUAAAGUACCUGUCCACUUCCACUUGGAAACUGAACAGCAACAGUGGCAAGCUGGCAAUUUUAGAAAGUGAACUUCUAGAUCUAAAAUGUUUUCAUAGAUAAGCCAUCAAUGCUCUUGUUAUCUACUAUUAGCUUUUAAAACAUUUCUGAUUUCCACCAAAAAAAUUUGCAUUUGGAAAUCUACAAUUAGAUUUGCUACCUGCCACCAAUUGCAGCCCUCACUUCACUAUCUGAAAGAGCCCAGAAGAUCUCAUCUCCUUAGUCUAAAUUGAUCUAUUUCUUAAAUGAUUAAUUCAGGAACGCUACUCUCAGAUGAAAGGCACUAUGCUAUAGUUCUGUUGUAUCAAUGCUCUAAAAUCCAAUUUAUGGGUCUACCUCUGAACCUCCAGUAUAUAAGAUUUUCUGCUAUCUCCGUUUCUGAUAGCUUAUUCCUAUAUUCUCUUACUCUCUUCCUUUACAUAGAUUGUUUGACUUGAUUCAACCAAAUAUGUGGUAAUAUCAAAUUAAUCUAACCCUCGGGGUUCUCAGGGAAGCAGACACUGAGAUGGCAAUGGCCACACAUGACAUUAUUUGGAAUGGUAGCUGUGGGAGGCAGAGGAAGUAAAAGAAAUAGAUAAUCUGAACAGAUCAAUACUAGCAAUGAAAUUGAAUCAGUAAUCAAAUACAACAAAUAAAAACGAGGACCAUACAGUGUCACAGGGGAAUUCUACCAAACACCUAGAGAAGAGUUAACACCUAUCCUUCUCAAACUACUUUUAAAAACUGUAAAGGAGGGAACACUUCCAAACUCAUUCUAUGAGGCCAGCAUGACCCUAUACCAAACCAGACAAAGACAUUACAAAACAAAAACAAACAAACAAAAAAAACUACAGGACAAUAUCUCUGAUGAAUAUAGGAACAAAAAUCCUCAACAAAAUAUUAGUAAACCAUAUUCAACACCAUGAUCAACUGGAUUUAUUCCAGAGAUGCAAGGAUGGUUCAAUACCUGUAAGUCAAUCAAUGUGAUACACCACAUUAACAAAAGCUACAGUAAUCAAAACAGUAUAGUACUGGCACAGAAACAGACACAUAGGUCAAUGGAACAGAAUAGAGAACCCAGAAAUAAACUCAUGCACGUAUGGAUAGUUAAUCUACAACAAAGAAUACACAAUGGGAAAAAAGUCUCUUCAAUAAGUGGUGGUGGGAAAACUAGACACUUACAUGUAAAAGAAUGAAUUUAGAACAUUCUCUAAGACCAUAUACAAAAAUAAACUCAAAAUGGAUCAAAGACUUAAAUUUAAGACCAGAGACCAUGAAACCCUUAGAAGAGUUAACCCUGGUGGCGCAGUGGUUAAGACUCCACGCUCCCAAUGCAGGAGGCUCGGGUUUGAUCCCUGGUCAGAGAACUAGAUCCUACAUGCAUGCCUCAACUAAGAGUUCGCAUGCCACAACUAAGGAGCCCAGCUGCCGCAAUUAAGACCCAAUGCAACCAAAUAAAUAAAUAAAUAAAUAUUUGAAAAAAAGAAACCAUCAACAAAAUGAAAAGACAACCUACAGAAUGGGAAAAAUAUUGCAAAUGAUAUGUCCAAUGAGGGGUUAAUAUACAAAAUAUAUAAACAGCUCAUACAACUCAAUAUCAAAAAAACAACCUGAUU